rnacentral:rRNA from 1 species
GAUGAAAUUUCUGUUUGGGGUUUGGUGGUCCUUUUCAAGGAUAUACUCUUCGGGGUGUACCUUGUUCUUUACUUUGAGAAAAUUAGAGUGCUCAAAGCAGGCGUAACCCGCCUUGAAUAAUUUAGCAUGGGAUAAUAAAAGAGGGCAUUUGCUCUAUUUUGUUGGUUUCUAGAGCUUAUGCAAUGAUUAAUAGGGACAGUUGGGGCCGUCUGUAUUCGUAAGCUAGAGGUGAAAUUCUAGGAUUGACUCAAGACGAACUAAUGCGAAAGCAUUCGACAAGGAUGUUUUCAUUAAUCAAGAACGAAAGUUGGGGGAUCGAAGAUGAUCAGAUACCGUCGUAGUCUCAACCAUAAACUAUGUGGACCAAAGAUCCGAGGAAGUUGAAUUUUUUGAAAGAAAAAUAGGAUGACUCUCCGGGCAUUUUGUGAGAAAUCAUAAAGUAUUUGCAUUCCGGGGGGAGUAUGGUCGCAAGGCUGAAACUUAAAGGAAUUGACGGAAGGGCACCACCAGGAGUGGAACCUGCGGCUUAAUUUGACUCAACACGGGGAAACUUACCGGGUCCGGACACACGUUGGAUUGACAGAUUGAAAGCUCUUUCUUGAUUGUGUGGGUGGUGGUGCAUGGCCGUUUUUAGUUGGUGGAGUGAUUUGUCUGGUUUAUUCCGAUAACGAACGAGACCUUGACCUAUUAAUUAGUGGGGGGUGGGAGGGGAGUGGGAAACUGCUUCCCUACAACCAUCUUUU